AAGUCGUAACAAGGUUUCCGUAGGUACGUUGAAGUCGUUUUCCUUAGCCCUUUCUUUUUGAUGAUAAUAACUAACAUGUUUAAAGGUGAACCUGCGGAAGGAUCAUUAUUAGGUGAGCGCCUUCGGGUGCCAGCUUCAACCCUUGUGUUAAAAUACACCUCGUUGCUUUGGCGGGCCCGCCUCUGGGCCGCCGGGGUCCUUAUGGGCUCUGGCCAGUGCCCGCCGGGAGCCUUCUUUAAUUCUAUUCAACUGUGGAGUCUGAGUACAACGAUAAAUCGUUAAAA
rnacentral:misc_RNA from 1 species